rnacentral:rRNA from 1 species
GAUGAACGCUGGCGGCGUGCCUAAUACAUGCAAGUCGAGCGAACGGACGAGAAGCUUGCUUCUCUGAUGUUAGCGGCGGACGGGUGAGUAACACGUGGAUAACCUACCUAUAAGACUGGGAUAACUUCGGGAAACCGGAGCUAAUACCGGAUAAUAUUUUGAACCGCAUGGUUCAAAAGUGAAAGACGGUCUUGCUGUCACUUAUAGAUGGAUCCGCGCUGCAUUAGCUAGUUGGUAAGGUAACGGCUUACCAAGGCAACGAUGCAUAGCCGACCUGAGAGGGUGAUCGGCCACACUGGAACUGAGACACGGUCCAGACUCCUACGGGAGGCAGCAGUAGGGAAUCUUCCGCAAUGGGCGAAAGCCUGACGGAGCAACGCCGCGUGAGUGAUGAAGGUCUUCGGAUCGUAAAACUCUGUUAUUAGGGAAGAACAUAUGUGUAAGUAACUGUGCACAUCUUGACGGUACCUAAUCAGAAAGCCACGGCUAACUACGUGCCAGCAGCCGCGGUAAUACGUAGGUGGCAAGCGUUAUCCGGAAUUAUUGGGCGUAAAGCGCGCGUAGGCGGUUUUUUAAGUCUGAUGUGAAAGCCCACGGCUCAACCGUGGAGGGUCAUUGGAAACUGGAAAACUUGAGUGCAGAAGAGGAAAGUGGAAUUCCAUGUGUAGCGGUGAAAUGCGCAGAGAUAUGGAGGAACACCAGUGGCGAAGGCGACUUUCUGGUCUGUAACUGACGCUGAUGUGCGAAAGCGUGGGGAUCAAACAGGAUUAGAUACCCUGGUAGUCCACGCCGUAAACGAUGAGUGCUAAGUGUUAGGGGGUUUCCGCCCCUUAGUGCUGCAGCUAACGCAUUAAGCACUCCGCCUGGGGAGUACGACCGCAAGGUUGAAACUCAAAGGAAUUGACGGGGACCCGCACAGGCGGUGGAGCAUGUGGUUUAAUUCGAAGCAACGCGAAGAACCUUACCAAAUCUUGACAUCCUUUGACAACUCUAGAGAUAGAGCUUUCCCCUUCGGGGGACAAAGUGACAGGUGGUGCAUGGUUGUCGUCAGCUCGUGUCGUGAGAUGUUGGGUUAAGUCCCGCAACGAGCGCAACCCUUAAGCUUAGUUGCCAUCAUUAAGUUGGGCACUCUAAGUUGACUGCCGGUGACAAACCGGAGGAAGGUGGGGAUGACGUCAAAUCAUCAUGCCCCUUAUGAUUUGGGCUACACACGUGCUACAAUGGACAAUACAAAGGGCAGCGAAACCGCGAGGUCAAGCAAAUCCCAUAAAGUUGUUCUCAGUUCGGAUUGUAGUCUGCAACUCGACUACAUGAAGCUGGAAUCGCUAGUAAUCGUAGAUCAGCAUGCUACGGUGAAUACGUUCCCGGGUCU